rnacentral:siRNA from 1 species
UAUAAGUGUAUUCGGGUCAUAUGG